AGAGUUUGAUCCUGGCUCAGGACGAACGCUGGCGGCGUGCCUAAUACAUGCAAGUCGAGCGGACAGAUGGGAGCUUGCUCCCUGAUGUUAGCGGCGGACGGGUGAGUAACACGUGGGUAACCUGCCUGUAAGACUGGGAUAACUCCGGGAAACCGGGGCUAAUACCGGAUGGUUGUUUGAACCGCAUGGUUCAAACAUAAAAGGUGGCUUCGGCUACCACUUGCAGAUGGACCCGCGGCGCAUUAGCUAGUUGGUGAGGUAAUGGCUCACCAAGGCAACGAUGCGUAGCCGACCUGAGAGGGUGAUCGGCCACACUGGGACUGAGACACGGCCCAGACUCCUACGGGAGGCAGCAGUAGGGAAUCUUCCGCAAUGGACGAAAGUCUGACGGAGCAACGCCGCGUGAGUGAUGAAGGUUUUCGGAUCGUAAAGCUCUGUUGUUAGGGAAGAACAAGUGCCGUUCGAAUAGGGCGGUACCUUGACGGUACCUAACCAGAAAGCCACGGCUAACUACGUGCCAGCAGCCGCGGUAAUACGUAGGUGGCAAGCGUUGUCCGGAAUUAUUGGGCGUAAAGGGCUCGCAGGCGGUUUCUUAAGUCUGAUGUGAAAGCCCCCGGCUCAACCGGGGAGGGUCAUUGGAAACUGGGGAACUUGAGUGCAGAAGAGGAGAGUGGAAUUCCACGUGUAGCGGUGAAAUGCGUAGAGAUGUGGAGGAACACCAGUGGCGAAGGCGACUCUCUGGUCUGUAACUGACGCUGAGGAGCGAAAGCGUGGGGAGCGAACAGGAUUAGAUACCCUGGUAGUCCACGCCGUAAACGAUGAGUGCUAAGUGUUAGGGGGUUUCCGCCCCUUAGUGCUGCAGCUAACGCAUUAAGCACUCCGCCUGGGGAGUACGGUCGCAAGACUGAAACUCAAAGGAAUUGACGGGGGCCCGCACAAGCGGUGGAGCAUGUGGUUUAAUUCGAAGCAACGCGAAGAACCUUACCAGGUCUUGACAUCCUCUGACAAUCCUAGAGAUAGGACGUCCCCUUCGGGGGCAGAGUGACAGGUGGUGCAUGGUUGUCGUCAGCUCGUGUCGUGAGAUGUUGGGUUAAGUCCCGCAACGAGCGCAACCCUUGAUCUUAGUUGCCAGCAUUCAGUUGGGCACUCUAAGGUGACUGCCGGUGACAAACCGGAGGAAGGUGGGGAUGACGUCAAAUCAUCAUGCCCCUUAUGACCUGGGCUACACACGUGCUACAAUGGACAGAACAAAGGGCAGCGAAACCGCGAGGUUAAGCCAAUCCCACAAAUCUGUUCUCAGUUCGGAUCGCAGUCUGCAACUCGACUGCGUGAAGCUGGAAUCGCUAGUAAUCGCGGAUCAGCACGCCGCGGUGAAUACGUUCCCGGGCCUUGUACACACCGCCCGUCACACCACGAGAGUUUGUAACACCCGAAGUCGGUGAGGUAACCGUUUAGGAGCCAGCCGCCUAAGGUGGGACAGAUGAUUGGGGUGAAGUCGUAACAAGGUA
rnacentral:rRNA from 1 species